GACGAACGCUGGCGGCGUGCCUAAUACAUGCAAGUUGAGCGCUGAAGGUUGGUACUUGUCCCAACUGGAUGAGCAGCGAACGGGUGAGUAACGCGUGGGGAAUCUGCCUUUGAGCGGGGGACAACAUUUGGAAACGAGUGCUAAUACCGCAUAAAAACUUUAAACACAAGUUUUAAGUUUGAAAGAUGCAAUUGCAUCACUCAAAGAUGAUCCCGCGUUGUAUUAGCUAGUUGGUGAGGUAAAGGCUCACCAAGGCGAUGAUACAUAGCCGACCUGAGAGGGUGAUCGGCCACAUUGGGACUGAGACACGGCCCAAACUCCUACGGGAGGCAGCAGUAGGGAAUCUUCGGCAAUGGACGAAAGUCUGACCGAGCAACGCCGCGUGAGUGAAGAAGGGUUUCGGAUCGUAAAACUCUGUUGGUAGAGAAGAACGUUGGUGAGAGUGGAAAGCUCAUCAAGUGACGGUAACUACCCAGAAAGGGACGGCUAACUACGUG
rnacentral:rRNA from 1 species